AAAUGUUCAGCAAUGGGAACUCUUCUGACUGAGGAACUUGGCUCCCUUUUAGGGCACAGAGCUGUGCCUCCUGUGAUCCCAAUAAGGAAGGAAGAUGCAGAAACUCCUGAGAGGGUGAACAGUCAACAAGAAGAAGAGAGCCCUCGGGUCCUGAGUGUCCAGGAGGGUGAAAAUGCCACCAUGAACUGCAGUUACAAAAGUAGUACUACCACUCUGCAGUGGUAUAGACAGGAUUCAGGUAAAGGUCCUGCUUUGGUGAUCUUAAUACGUUCAAAUGAGAAAGAAAAACACAGUGGAAGACUAACAGCCACCCUGGACACCUCCACCAAAAGAAGUGUCCUGUCCAUCACGGCUUCCCAGGCUGCAGAUGCUGCCACUUACUUCUGUGCUACAGAUGCACAGUGAUCAGCAGGCACCUGCAGCCCUGACGCAAACCCUGCCAGGGCUGCUUCCCAGAAGCCCUGAC